GGGACGGUAGCUCAGCCGGUCAGAGCAGGGGACUCAUAAUCCCUGGGUCGUGGGUUCGAGUCCCACCCGUCCUA
rnacentral:tRNA from 1 species